GUACAAUGUAGUGUUAUUUCUAUAUAAUUAUAGUGUAAUUAUUAAACACAAAUAGUGUCUGAUUUUAUAUAGAUAACAUAUUUUAUUUUUUCGCAUACGUUGAUCCUUUGAGAGAGAUCGAUUCAUUCAUUUGGCCAAUUGCCGAGAAUAACCCAUUCAGAUCGGUUAUAAUGAAAAAGAAUGCGAAGAUCUUUUCGGAUUUGACAAGAAUUGAAAAGGAUAUUUCUGAUUAUUGUUUCUUUCAGCAUAAAAAAAGCAAUGAAGAAGAAAAUGUCUUUCUUUAUAAUCGGAAGUUCUAUCUAUCAUUCAUUGCUAUUGCAAGCAUGAAUGAUAAAUGUUUCAUACAUUCUGGGUUGUUGGAUACUUGGGCUUUGUUGUUGAACAAAGCUCAAGAAUACAGGGCAAAAAUCGAAGACAAUGACACAACUAAAUUCUAUUUUAGUAUUCAACAUUCUGUUUAUCUUCAAAAUUUGUUGAAUCUGGACAAGAAGAAAAAUUGUGAAAAACAAAUGCAAGCACUCUUACUCAAAGAGUGCUGGUCAUACUGGAUUUCCCAUAUGCAGAUGACACCCCAUGCCCUCAACACACAGAUGGUAAUUAUAGUUUAUUAUUUCAUUAUAUUCUGCUGUGUGUGAUAGUUUAAUUUUUCAUUGUGUUAAUUAUAUAACUUCAAAGUAUCAUUAGUUUUAUACAUAAAGUCAUUUGUUAUAAACGAUUUUGUGGCUUAAUGUUAUCUUCUAUUAUUUUUUAACAUUAUAGGUUUUCUUCCCAAUUGGGCAUCAAGGACACUUUUUUGGGUGUGUAGUGGAUUUUGAAGCUGGUAAAAUACAUUACCUUGACAAUCAAGAAUCCAAUGCAAAUCCUGCAACAUCAAACUGGAAGCUUGUUGAAAUAGUGAAGGAAAACUUUGUUGUGUACCUGAGAGAAAUAAACCAUCAAAAGGCUGAGGAGUUCACAUCAUAUCCAAUUGAAAAUGUGAAAUUUGCAUGGGAAAACAAGUCGAUAAAUGUUGAUUGUGGUAUGUUCUUGUUACACCAUAUGGAGAACUUCUCAGGACAAGUUUAUCAGUGCAAGAUACUUAAUGAGAUUUCGGGGCGCAGAAAGCUAAGAUGCAAGUAUGCAGCACGGAUCAUACUAUCAUAAAUCAAUGAGAUGAGGGAGUCUGUCCUUGAAGAAGUUAAGAAAUUUGUCUUAACCUGAAACUGGUUUGAAAUUUAAGUUUUUGAUGGAUUUUGUUGUAAUAUUUGAAAAUAUUAUAAACCCAUUUGCAUUCCUACUGUUAAUUAGUGAUGUUGGUUUUUCAUAUACAAUAUGGGGAUUAUGUCGUUGUUUUGGUAAUUAUGUUGUUAUUUUGAAAUCCUCAGACUCUGAUUUUGCAGGAUACAAAAUUGAUCGCAAAUCAACUUCGGGAAUUUGUCAAUUCCUAGGCAACAAAUUUAUCUCUUGGUUUUCGAAGAAACAAACUUCAGUUGCCACUUCUACAACUGAAGCUGAAUAUGUUGCUGCGAGAAGCUGUUGUUCACAACUCCUAUGGUUAGUCCAACAACUGAAGGACUAUGGGAUUGAAGAAAAUGAAGUCCCAAUUUAUUGCGACAGCUCCAGUGCUAUUGCAAUCUCACAGAAUCUAGUUCAUCACACAAGAGUCAAGCAUAUUGCAAUCCGACAUCACUUCAUUCGUGAUCACGUGGAAAAGAAGAAUGUCUCUGUUGAAUGGAUUUCGACCGCAGUUCAGAGAGCAGACUUGCUGACCAAAGCUCUUCCUGAAGAUAGGUUCAACGAUCUUUUUGGAAGGAUCGGCCUCAUCAACCCUGAAGAAUGAUGUUGUUUUUGAAGAUCUCAACUGCAGUCACAAUGACUGUUGCUCAGCCAACUGAUGCUCCUCAACUGCUGACGUGGCAAUCAAAUAAGAUGAGUUUUCAUCUGAAGGGGAACUUAUUCUUAUAAGUCAACCAGAAAUAGUGGUAUCGACUGACUACAAUGAUCAGUCGAUCAGUAAGUAUCUUCAACUUACCCUGUGAAAAUCAGUUAACUCAGUUAUGAGUCUUUGAUAGUCUUCAAAAACCUUUCUCUAACUGAUCAGUUUGUUUCAAAAACUUUAACUGAUUAUUGGAAAAUGAAAUAUCCAUGAAGGACAAGUACUUUUAAGAAGAUUUAAAAAUUGCUUUAACUUGUCCUGAUCCUCUACUUAAAGUGUUUCCAACCUUUUUGCCUCUGAAAUAAAAAUCUUGAAAAUCUCAUUGAUUUGACAAAAUGGAAUGAUUUUUCUUACCUUUUCAAGCUUCUGUCCUCUGCAGUGACGCCGGACGUGAAAUUUUUCUUCAAAAAGAUUUUAGGCACCUUUUUCGAAAAUCUUUUCAUCCUCUGUCUUGGUAAUAUAGUCUAUAUAUGCAUCGAUGUCUUCAAUUGUUUUCUUCAUCAACUAACUGCUCUCCACAGUCUUCUCUGUGAGAAUUUCAUGCUUUCAAAAGUUGCAGAAGAAUUUCGUUCCGAUCAAGGAGAGUUCAAUGACAACGAAGUCAUGGAGUGGAAGAAUGACGCUCACACACUUGGUCUUAACAGGACCCUUCCACUGGAUCUCAACGUCUCUCCGACGUCAAGCUUGUUUCUACCCUCACUUAUAUCCAGCGACACGAGUGCCUGGCGCCAAGAAGCUUCUAAGCUUCAGGAGGUUGUCAAGCUUAUUUCACAUAUCUUGCUCACCUCCAUGGCAUGCAACAACAACGAGCUCUCUCUCGUUGUCUGCCGGCAUCACAAGCCGCACAUGGCCCUUUCUUCAAAGACCUCGUGCCGGCAAAUCGACAGUGUUAGUCCUCUCGACUGUCACUGAUUCGAUUUUUCCUUCUCACACCCCUCUUCUGUACUUUCCCUCUUUCUCCAACCUAGUCCCCUCUCUCUUCUUCAUAAGCCUUUCAUCCUCUCUCUAAGGCAGCCUCCUUCACCUCUAAGGCAGUCUCCUUCACCUUUUCGUCUCCUUCACUUCUCCGUCUCCUUUCUCAUCUCCCUUCCCACUGGCGUCUUCCUCUUCUGCAUAUCUGGACUCACCCUCUUCUCAAAUCCUCUCACGAGUUUCUGAGACUAGGAGUUGGGUACCAUCUGAUCAUAGCUUCCAUCAUCAGUUCUCUUUUUUAUGUUUCCAAAAAGGGGAAAAGUAGAAGUCAGAGAAAAACCUUCUCAAAGUUGGUUCUCUGCAUCUUCUCGAAAGACUGAAGAUGGUAAAGCAAAAGGAUCACCAGAAGUUUUAAGGAUGAUGUUCCAGUAAGACCUCAAGUCAAUGGAAAAUAAGUGUGAAAGGAACAAGCUUAGGAACGUGAAGAUGAAGAUGAAGAUCAAAGAAGUUCAAAGCGCAGACAAGCAGACCGCUGGAGUCCAUGGGUUUCCAUGUGUUUUUGUUUUUCUUACU